GGGGGGUUGGCGCAAUGGUAGCGCGUACGCCUCCAGAGCGUAAGGUUGUUGGUUCGAUCCCUGCACUCCCCA